UACGGGAGGCAGCAGUGGGGGAUAUUGCACAAUGGGCGAAAGCCUGAUGCAGCAACGCCGCGUGAGGGAAGACGGUUUUCGGAUUGUAAACCUCUGUCUUUGGUGAAGAAGAAAGUGACGGUAGCCAAGGAGGAAGCCACGGCUAACUACGUGCCAGCAGCCGCGGUAAU
rnacentral:rRNA from 1 species